UACGAAGGGUGCAAGCGUUGUUCGGAUUUAUUGGGCGUAAAGCGCGCGCAGGCGGAUUGUUAAGUCAGAUGUGAAAUCUCGGGGCUCAACCCCGAAACUGCGUCUGAAACUGAUAAUCUAGAAUCUCGGAGAGGGAAGGGGAAUUUCACAUGUAGGGGUAAAAUCCGUAGAGAUGUGAAGGAACACCAGAGGCGAAGGCGCCUUCCUGGACGAGUAUUGACGCUGAGGCGCGAAAGCGUGGGUAGCAAACAGG
rnacentral:rRNA from 1 species